GACGUAGGAGGCGAGCGUUGUCCGGAUUCAUUGGGCGUAAAGAGCACGCAGGCGGUUUGGCAAGUCGGAUGUGAAAGUCCAGGGCUCAACCCUGGGAUGCCGGUGGAUACUGUCGAGCUCGAGUCCGGAAGAGGCGAGUGGAAUUCCUGGUGUAGCGGUGAAAUUCGUAGAUAUUCGGAAGAACACCAGUGGCGAAGGCGACUAACUGGACAUGUAUUGACGCUGAGGUGCGAAAGCGUGGGGAGCAAACAGG
rnacentral:rRNA from 1 species